rnacentral:rRNA from 1 species
GGCUGAAAUUCGCCUUCAUGAAGCCGGAAUUGCUAGUAAUGGCAGGUCAGCAUACUGCCGUGAAUACGUUCCCGGGCCUUGUACACACCGCCCGUCACACCAUGAGAGUUGGGAAUACCCGAAGCCUGUGAGCUAACGAAAGAGGCAGCAGUCGAAGGUAGAAUCAAUGAUUGGGGUGAAGUCGUAACAAGGUACC